CUAUGCGCCUUGCCAGCCCGCUCAGGUGUGCCAGCAGCCGCGGUAAUACGUAGGGAGCGAGCGUUGUCCGGAAUUACUGGGUGUAAAGGGAGCGUAGGCGGGGAUGCAAGUUGGGUGUCAAAACUACCGGCUCAACUGGUAGUCGCACUCAAAACUGCAGCUCUUGAGUGAAGUAGAGGCAGGCGGAAUUCCUAGUGUAGCGGUGAAAUGCGUAGAUAUUAGGAGGAACACCAGUGGCGAAGGCGGCCUGCUGGACGACAACUGACGGUGAGGCGCGAAAGCGUGGGGAGCAAAUAGG
rnacentral:rRNA from 1 species